UUUACCCUACGUGGUACGUGCAAAGAAUUAAAUUUUAGAACCAACAAAUAUUUAACGGGAGUCCGCCUUUGAGUGUGGCGUGUAGGCUUAGAGUAUACUUUAAGAAACCCAGAAGCAUUCAACAAGAUACCCACCUGUCUAGUGGCAGGUCCUUAAAAUUUCGUUCAUCUCACGGCUAGUGUGGGGACUUU
rfam:Clostridium sp. CAG:780 genomic scaffold, scf220